rnacentral:rRNA from 1 species
GAUGAACGCUGGCGGCGUGCUUAACACAUGCAAGUCGAACGGAAAGGCUCCUGCUUGCAGGGGUACUCGAGUGGCGAACGGGUGAGUAACACGUGGGUGAUCUGCCCAGCACUUCGGGAUAAGCCUGGGAAACUGGGUCUAAUACCGGAUAGGACGAUGGUUUGGAUGCCAUUGUGGAAAGAUUUUUCGGUGUGGGAUGAGCUCGCGGCCUAUCAGCUUGUUGGUGGGGUAAUGGCCUACCAAGGCGUCGACGGGUAGCCGGCCUGAGAGGGGGUACGGCCACAUUGGGACUGAGAUACGGGCCAGACUCCUACGGGGGGCAGCGGUGGGGAAUAUAGCGGAAUAGGCGGAAACCUGAUGCAGCGACGCCGUGUGGGGGAUGACGGCCUUCUGGUUGUAAACACCGUUCGCAGGGGACGAAGCGAAAGUGACGGUACCUGGAGAAGAAGCGCCGGCUAACUACGUG